GCAUAUCAAUAAGCGGAGGAAAAGAAACCAACAGGGAUUGCCUCAGUAACGGCGAGUGAAGCGGCAACAGCUCAAAUUUGAAAUCUGGCUCUUUCAGGGUCCGAGUUGUAAUUUGUAGAAGAUGCUUUGGGUGUAGCUCCGGUCUAAGUUCCUUGGAACAGGACGUCAUAGAGGGUGAGAAUCCCGUACGUGACUGGGUGCUUUCGCUCGUGUAAAGCUCUUUCGACGAGUCGAGUUGUUUGGGAAUGCAGCUCAAAAUGGGUGGUAAAUUUCAUCUAAAGCUAAAUAUUGGCCAGAGACCGAUAGCGCACAAGUAGAGUGAUCGAAAGAUGAAAAGCACUUUGGAAAGAGAGUUAAACAGUACGUGAAAUUGUUGAAAGGGAAGCGCUUGCAACCAGACUUGCGCGCUGUUGAUCAUCCGAGGUUUUCCCCGGUGCACUCGGCAGCGUUCAGGCCAGCAUCGGUUUUGGUGGGCGGAUAAAGGCCUUGGGAAUGUAGCUUCUUUCGGGGAGUGUUAUAGCCCUCGGUGCAAUGCGCCCUACCGGGACCGAGGACCGCGCUUCGGCUAGGAUGCUGGCGUAAUGGUGUAAGCGACCCGUCUUGAAACACGGACC
rnacentral:rRNA from 1 species